rnacentral:rRNA from 1 species
UGGGGAAUAUUGGACAAUGGGGGAAACCCUGAUCCAGCAAUGCCGCGUGGGUGAAGAAGGUCUUCGGAUUGUAAAUCCCUUUCGGCGGGGACGAUGAUGACGGUACCCGCAGAAGAAGCUCCGGCUAACUUCGUGCCAGCAGCCGCGGUAAUACGAAGGGGGCUAGCGUUGCUCGGAAUGACUGGGCGUAAAGGGCGCGUAGGCGGUUGGUACAGUCGGAUGUGAAAUUCCUGGGCUUAACCUGGGGGCUGCAUUCGAUACGUGCUGGCUUGAGUGUGGAAGAGGGUUGUGGAAUUCCCAGUGUAGAGGUGAAAUUCGUAGAUAUUGGGAAGAACACCGGUGGCGAAGGCGGCAACCUGGUCCAUGACUGACGCUGAGGCGCGAAAGCGUGGGGAGCAAAC